rnacentral:misc_RNA from 1 species
GAUGAAGAACGCAGCGAAAUGCGAUAAGUAAUGUGAAUUGCAGAAUUCAGUGAAUCAUCGAAUCUUUGAACGCACAUUGCGCCCGCCAGUAUUCUGGCGGGCAUGCCUGUUCGAGCGUCAUUACAACCCUCAGGCCCCCGGGCCUGGCGUUGGGGAUCGGCGGAGCCCCCCGUGGGCACACGCCGUCCCCCAAAUGCAGUGGCGGUCCCGCCGCAGCUUCCAUCGCGUAGUAGCUAACACCACGCGACUGGAGAGCGGCGCGGCCACGCCGUAAAACACCCAACUCUUCUGAAGUUGACCUCGAAUCAGGUAGGAAUACCCGCUGAACUUAAGCAUAUCAAUAAGCGGAGGA